UGGUAGGUUGGCCUGGACUCAA
rnacentral:misc_RNA from 1 species